rnacentral:rRNA from 1 species
GAUGAACGCUAGCGGCAGGCCUAAUACAUGCAAGUCGAGGGGUAGAGCUAGCUUGCUAGCUUGAGACCGGCGCACGGGUGCGUAACGCGUAUGCAACCUACCCUUUUCUGGGGGAUAGCCCGGAGAAAUCCGGAUUAAUACCGCAUAAGACCACGAUACGGCAUCGUGAUGUGGUCAAACAUUUAUGGGAGAAGGAUGGGCAUGCGUGCCAUUAGCUAGUUGGCGGGGUAACGGCCCACCAAGGCGACGAUGGCUAGGGGAUCUGAGAGGAUGGCCCCCCACACUGGUACUGAGACACGGACCAGACUCCUACGGGAGGCAGCAGUAAGGAAUAUUGGUCAAUGGGGGCAACCCUGAACCAGCCAUGCCGCGUGCAGGACGACGGCCCUCCGGGUUGUAAACUGCUUUUGUACGGGAAUAAACCCCGCUACGUGUAGCGGGCUGAAUGUACCGUAAGAAUAAGGAUCGGCUAACUCCGUGCCAGCAGCCGCAGUAA